UACGUAGGGUGCGAGCGUUAAUCGGAAUUACUGGGCGUAAAGCGUGCGUAGGCGGUUCUCCAAGUCCGUUGUGAAAGCCCCGGGCUCAACCUGCGAAUGGCAGUGGAAACUAGGGGACUGGAAUCUGGCAGAGGGGGGUGGAAUGCCGCGUGUAGCAGUGAAAUGCGUAGAGAUGCGGCGGAACACCGAUGGCGAAGGCAGCCCCCUGGGCUGAGAUUGACGCUCAGGCACGAAAGCCAGGGGAGCAAACGGG
rnacentral:rRNA from 1 species